CCCCUAGACGUUCUGGGCUGCACGCGCGCUACAAUAAUACGCACAGCGAGUAUCACCGAGCUCGAAAGGGCAAGGUAAACAAUAGAAAAGGUACUGUAAUGGUUAUAGAUCCUUGUAAUUAUUGAUCUUCAACGAGGAAUUCCUAGUAAGUAUGUGUCAUCAUCACACACUGAUUACGUCCCUGCCCUUUGUACACACCGCCCGUCGCUCCUACCGAUUGGGUGAGCCGAUGAAACUCUCGGAUGUAGGCUAUUCAUAGCCCGCAGAAGAGAUUUGAAUCGUAGCGCUUAGAGGAAGGAGAAGUCGUAACA
rnacentral:rRNA from 1 species